UACGGAGGAUGCGAGCGUUAUCCGGAUUUAUUGGGUUUAAUGGGUGCGUAGGCGGACUGUCAAGUCAGCGGUAAAAUUGAGAGGCUCAACCUCUUCCCGCCGUUGAAACUGGUGGUCUUGAGUGGAUGAGAAGUACGCGGAAUGCGUGGUGUAGCGGUGAAAUGCGUAGAUAUCACGCAGAACUCCGAUUGCGAAGGCAGCGUACCGGCAUCCAACUGACGCUGAGGCACGAAAGCGUGGGGAUCAAACAGG
rnacentral:rRNA from 1 species